rnacentral:lncRNA from 1 species
AGACAGCUGGGACCCGCGGAAUUUGAGGCGCGCGCUGGGAUCUUACGUGCGCAGAGGCCGGACCGCAGAGUAGAAGAAACGUUUGAAUGGGAAUGGGAGAGGAGAGCAGAAAUGGGAAGGAAAAAGAAGAUUCCAGAGCAGUAACGUAAUUAAACAUUCUCAAUCCACAAAAUGACUGCAAAGCAGAUAACCAGAGUCCUGAUGAUUAACUGCCGUCAGUGGAACUGCCUGUUUUUCCUCAAGUGGAUCUUU